AACGACUGAUUGAAAAAGCUGAAUCCAAACGAUUCCCUUUCCAAUUCCCCGACGACGUUACAAUCUGCAGUUAUGGCCUUCAGGAAACAAACCCCACAAUCACCUUUGUAUCUUCAAUACGUUGUUCUCAGUUUAUAAUAUAAACCUUCCCAGUUGCCUCUCCAAUUUCCUUCGGAUUCAUCUCCACUUUUACUCUUAGACAAGCUUUCCCUAAUGACAAUUUCGCAGCCUCAAUUAUCCAGAAGGCAGGCAGCCCGGAAUUAUCCAUAUGCUGCUGCUAGAUUCCAAGGUUAAGCUUGGAUACGUUUUAUGUGAUCAGUUUGUUCGUGAAAGGAAUGUGAGCUUACACCUCCAGUCACGGGCAUAUUAAAAUUUACUCUCUUUUACAUGUUUAUCUAAACAGUUUUGCAAAGAAAUUUUUAAAGACCCAAUUCUCUCUUCUCCGGUUGCAACCAAAGGCAUAAGCGUCAACGAACUUGUGACAUGGAUGGUUUUUGGAGAGGUGAGAUGACCGACCGAAGCGUUGUUGGUUGGAUUCUUAGGGAUGGGAAGGGAGAAAUGAAGUGUCUUAGAGAAGCCUCAUCUAUUUCGAGGUCCUUUACUGACUUGUGAGAUGAAGCAGAAGCAUUGAUAUGGAGUGUUAUUUGUAUAAUUGGGCUAUAAGAAAUUCUGAAUUUUACCACCUUGGCUCUGACCAAUCUGAAGUUAGGGGUCAGCUAUUUCAAGGAAAGUGACAUCUCAUAAUUCAAUUUAUACUUUUGUUUGCUUAGCGUGUAAGGAUAUUGAUGAACUGCAGCAGAAAACGGAGAUUUUAGUAAGCAUCGCAGAUGGAUUCUGUUAAUGGUGUGAGUUUCGAGUUCGGCGAAGCAAAUGGUUUACUCUAAAAGUUUGCGGGAGAAAAGCCUAUGUAAAAGUCACUGGAAUCUCUUAAAGCAGAACUGAAGAAUGUCAAGAGAUAGCACUGUGGAGUUGAAGCGAAGGAGGCUGAAAUCGAAUAAGUGGUUAGAGAUCUCCAUCCGGAGCGUAGCAAAAGUGAGACUGACCUAGAACAAUGUGUGGCAGAAAAAUCUGAAGCAAACGCCGCUUACGAAGAUAUGAUGUCAACCUUAAAUCAGAUAUCUUCGAGAUAGAAGCUGCUCGACGAGAAGUUGAGCUACAUUUUGAAGGUCGCACCAGAUAAAGUCGAGGAAGCAAAAGCUGCCGAGGUAUGUGCUUGACCACAUAAAGUCAAUGUCUGAAAAUUCAACAGUUGCCCGAAUUUGUAAUACCGCGCCAUCUGAGUGUGGAGCUAAGAGCAUCACACUAUGUCAGGAGGAUUUUAAGUCGCUGAGCGAAGGAGCUAAGCUAUUCGAUAAGUUGGUGAAUAUGAAAGUGGUAAAUAUGAAAGUGGCAGCUGCGCUGGCUCAGGUAGGCGCAGUUAGAGCUAGCGAAAUCAAGACACUGAAAAAGUUUGAGGCACACAAGAGGAGAUUGAGAAGCUAAAGACUGCGACAGAAGACACACUGGAUAAAGAGUAUGCAGUUGAAGGAGAACUCGGGAGGUGUCAGGUAAGAUAUCUGAAUAAAGCACAGAGGAAGCAGCUUCGAGGAUUAUUGCAGAGGCUGAGGCGAUGAUUCUGCUGAAUCAUCACCACAAAGUCACUACAAAGCUACGAAACGUAAACAAAUCCACACAAACUCGAGAAGACAAAAACUUUUGUGGUAUAUAAAACUGGUUUUACCGAAUUUAAGUGUAAUAGUUAAUAGAAAUAAGAAUCAAGUGGAAUGGAGUUCUCCUUAUCUCUAUGGAGAGAAACCCUUUUUGAUGUAUACUUUCUUUUUAAGAGCUGAGAACUUUCGUUGUGGUGAACUUUUCGUUGAUGUAUACGUUUGGUCUUUAAUGUGAAAACUGGUUUGUUGCUGUAAA